AAGCCGGAAUUGCUAGUAAUGGCAGGUCAGCAUACUGCCGUGAAUACGUUCCGGGCCUUGUACACACCGCCCGUCACACCAUGAGAGUUGGGAAUACCCGAAGCCUGUGAGCUAACUUUAGAGGCAGCAGUCGAAGGUAGAAUCAAUGAUUGGGGUGAAGUCGUAACAAGGUAAC
rnacentral:rRNA from 1 species